rnacentral:rRNA from 1 species
CCUACGGGGUGCAGCAGUGGGGAAUAUUGCACAAUGGGGGAAACCCUGAUGCAGCGACGCCGCGUGAGUGAAGAAGUAUCUCGGUACGUAAAGCUCUAUCAGCAGGGAAGAAAAUUACGGUACCUGACUACGACGCCCCGGCUAACUCCGUUCCAGCAGCCGCGGUACUACGUAGGGGGCAAGCGUUAUCCGGAUUUACUGGGUGUAAAGGGAGCGUAGACGGCAGGACAAGUCUGGAGUGAAAUCCCGGGGCUUAACCCCGGAACUGCUUUGGAAACUGUGCGGCUGGAGUGCAGGAGGGGUAAGCGGAAUUGCUAGUGUAGCGGUGAAAUGCGUAGAUAUUAGGAGGAACACCGGUGGCGAAGGCGGCUUACUGGACUGUAACUGACGUUGAGGCUCGAAAGCGUGGGGAGCAAACAGGAUUAGAUACCCCGGUAGUC